AAGUUAGCGAUGAUUAUAAAAAUAAUUUUUCAUUCUGACUUGCUUAAUUUGGACAUAACAAACCUCUUAUUACAACCAUAGAAUCUAAGCUCGAC
rfam:Theobroma cacao cultivar Matina 1-6 chromosome 1, whole genome shotgun sequence.